rnacentral:rRNA from 1 species
UUGAACGCUGGCGGCAUGCUUUACACAUGCAAGUCGAACGGCAGCGGGGGCUUCGGCCUGCCGGCGAUUGGCGAACGGGUGAGUAAUGCAUCGGAACGUACCCAGUCGUGGGGGAUAACUACGCGAAAGCGUAGCUAAUACCGCAUACGCCCUGAGGGGGAAAGCGGGGGACCUUCGGGCCUCGCGCGAUUGGAGCGGCUGAUGUCGGAUUAGCUGGUUGGUGGGGUAAAGGCCUACCAAGGCGACGAUCCGUAGCUGGUAUGAGAGGAUGAUCAGCCACACGGGGACUGAGAAACGGCCCAGACUCCUACGGGAGGCAGCAGUGGGGAAUUUUGGACAAUGGGCGCAAGCCUGAUCCAGCCAUGCCGCGUGAGUGAAGAAGGACUUCGGGUUGUAAAGCUCUGUCAGACGGAAAGAAAUAGGGCGCGUGAAUAGCGUGACUGGAUGACGGUACUGUCAGAAGAAGCACCGGCUAACUACGU